rnacentral:rRNA from 1 species
GGCGGUGGCGGCGCUUAAAUGCAGUCGAACGCGAAAGGGGGCAACCCCGAGUAGAGUGGCGAACGGGUGAGUAACGCAUCGGAACGUGCCCUGGAGUGGGGGAUAACCUAGCGAAAGUUAGGCUAAUACCGCAUACGCUCUGUGGAGGAAAGUGGGGGACCGCAAGGCCUCACGCUCAAGGAGCGGCCGAUGUCCGAUUAGCUAGUUGGUGGGGUAAAAGCCCACCAAGGCGACGAUCGGUAGCUGGUCUGAGAGGACGACCAGCCACACUGGGACUGAGACACGGCCCAGACUCCUACGGGAGGCAGCAGUGGGGAAUUUUGGACAAUGGGGGAAACCCUGAUCCAGCCAUGCCGCGUGGGUGAAGAAGGCCUUCGGGUUGUAAAGCCCUUUCGGCCGGGACGAAAUCGCACGGGUGAAUAUCCCGUGUGGAUGACGGUACCGGAAGAAGAAGCACCGGCUAACUACGUGCCAGCAGCCGCGGUAAUACGUAGGGUGCGAGCGUUAAUCGGAAUUACUGGGCGUAAAGCGUGCGCAGGCGGCCUCUUAAGCCAGCUGUGAAAUCCCCGGGCUUAACCUGGGAACUGCGUUUGGAACUGGGAGGCUAGAGUGUGGCAGAGGGGGGUGGAAUUCCCGGUGUAGCAGUGAAAUGCGUAGAUAUCGGGAGGAACACCAAUGGCGAAGGCAGCCCCCUGGGUUAACACUGACGCUCAUGCACGAAAGCGUGGGGAGCAAACAGGAUUAGAUACACUGGUAGUCCACGCCCUAAACGAUGUCAACUGGUUGUCGGGGAAGUAAUUCCUUGGUAACGAAGCUAACGCGUGAAGUUGACCGCCUGGGGAGUACGGCCGCAAGGUUAAAACUCAAAGGAAUUGACGG